UACGUAGGGACCAAGCGUUGUUCGGAUUUACUGGGCGUAAAGGGCGCGUAGGCGGCAAUUCAAGUCAUCUGUGAAAUCUCCGGGCUUAACCCGGAACGGUCAGGUGAUACUGUUUUGCUAGAGUGCGGAAGGGGCAAUCGGAAUUCUCGGUGUAGCGGUGAAAUGCGUAGAUAUCGAGAGGAACACCAGAGGUGAAGACGGGUUGCUGGACCGCAACUGACGCUGAGGCGCGAAAGCUAGGGGAGCAAACAGG
rnacentral:rRNA from 1 species